UGGGGACGCUAGGUUCCGGAACCUGACCUGAGCUGGGGCCUGUGCUUCCAGCGGGUGGUGGGGGGCCUGGUGUGCUGGCAUCAAGUAAGCCGACUACCUCGGCAAAGGCUUAGGGACAAGAGACCAGCAGCCUGAACUGGCUGGGGCAUCCGGAAGGCUUAGAUCUUGUGGCCAAGAGUUCAGACCGUGGCGAAGUGGAGAGUGACAUGCAGUUGGAUGGCGGUGACUGCGUGGUCCUGCAACCCUGGUUCCAGUCUGGCAAGCAUUGUAGACCUGGCUGCUGAAGACUGACGGGGCCCAGGGUCCGCUGCCCCCACCGCCAUCACCACCUCGGAACCCAGGGUAACGCUGUCAGUCUUUGAGCCUACGAGGAAACCAUUCGGAAGCUCCAGAACCCAGGCCCUAAUCACAACGCCCCUAUCCAGCAGGAAGCAGCCAGAUGAUCAACGACGCCCUUUUUCCUUUUUAUACUAAAGUAAGAAAUAAGAAUGUUAGCCCAAACUGCACUAUUUUGCAGACCCCUACCAUUUUACAAACUGGUCAGAGUGGAAAAUUCCACCAGGGCCUGAGCUGUGAGAAACAUCCUGUCAGGCAGGUCCCAGGCCUAACCCCUGGCUGCACUAAAUUCCUUCAUUAUCAGCAGCCAAACACACCGCCCCCACCCCAUUUUCACAACAAUCCCAGACCUCUCCUGCCCGGGACUGUAACUGGUCCAGCCUGUAAGCGGGAAGGGGGCUCUGGCACUAGCUGGUACCCCCUCUCCGCAGGUCUUUCUCCCAAUAAAUCUGUGUUGCCAUUG
rnacentral:lncRNA from 1 species